rnacentral:rRNA from 1 species
AUUGAACGCUGGCGGCAGGCCUAACACAUGCAAGUCGAACGGUAACAGGAAGCAGCUUGCUGCUUCGCUGACGAGUGGCGGACGGGUGAGUAAUGUCUGGGAAACUGCCUGAUGGAGGGGGAUAACUACUGGAAACGGUAGCUAAUACCGCAUAACGUCGCAAGACCAAAGAGGGGGACCUUCGGGCCUCUUGCCAUCGGAUGUGCCCAGAUGGGAUUAGCUAGUAGGUGGGGUAACGGCUCACCUAGGCGACGAUCCCUAGCUGGUCUGAGAGGAUGACCAGCCACACUGGAACUGAGACACGGUCCAGACUCCUACGGGAGGCAGCAGUGGGGAAUAUUGCACAAUGGGCGCAAGCCUGAUGCAGCCAUGCCGCGUGUAUGAAGAAGGCCUUCGGGUUGUAAAGUACUUUCAGCGGGGAGGAAGGCGACAGGGUUAAUAACCCUGUCGAUUGACGUUACCCGCAGAAGAAGCACCGGCUAACUCCGUGCCAGCAGCCGCGGUAAUACGGAGGGUGCAAGCGUUAAUCGGAAUUACUGGGCGUAAAGCGCACGCAGGCGGUCUGUCAAGUCGGAUGUGAAAUCCCCGGGCUCAACCUGGGAACUGCAUUCGAAACUGGCAGGCUAGAGUCUUGUAGAGGGGGGUAGAAUUCCAGGUGUAGCGGUGAAAUGCGUAGAGAUCUGGAGGAAUACCGGUGGCGAAGGCGGCCCCCUGGACAAAGACUGACGCUCAGGUGCGAAAGCGUGGGGAGCAAACAGG